UACGGAGGGUGCAAGCGUUAUCCGGAUUCCCUGGGUUUCAAGGGUGCGUAGGUGGGCAGGUAAGUCAGUGGUGAAAUCUCCGAGCUUAACUCGGAAACUGCCGUUGAUACUAUUUGUCUUGAAUAUUGUGGAGGUAAGCGGAAUAUGUCAUGUAGCGGUGAAAUGCUUAGAUAUGACAUAGAACACCAAUUGCGAAGGCAGCUUACUACACAACGAUUGACGCUGAGGCACGAAAGCGUGGGGAUCAAACAGG
rnacentral:rRNA from 1 species